GCCCUCUUUGCUGACUGAACAUGGAACUUGAUCCAGUUUCCUGAAGGUGGCUUGGAUGGAAUUGUAAGGAAAUUAAAAGGAAAUAUAAGUCACCCAGGUGUGCUGCAACUCUGAAAGUGAAGCAUAAUGCUUGAUGGCAGCUGAUGGCAGAACUGCUCAUUUAUGUUUUCUCACUGCAGGUUAGCACAAAGGAGCCGUGACACAACCGUGAAGCAGUCCAUUGUACCACGCCAAUGCCAGCCCCAAGAAAAAUACAGUCUGGGAAAACCAGGGAGCAGCACAAAGGCUUGAGAGGCUUCAGAAAACGAAUUGCAGAGCAGUUGUCUUUUGAACUGAGGUGGCUGUUAGAUAACUGCCCCAGAGCUGAAUCACAGAACCCACUCAUCACUGGCCCACAGCUGCACUUGUUUUACCAUUGAGUACAACCCUCCAAGCACAACAGUGCAGCAGUUCUUCCCACCAACCCUGUGUCCAUUCAUCUCCUCACAUCUCUCAGCUCUGAGGACACUGUGAAAGAAUAUGUCCAAAGCCUUAUGGAAAUCAAGGUAAAUUUACUGUUCUCCCCUUAUCAAGUCUUUCAUCACAGGUGGCAAUCAGGCUGAACAAACACAAUUUUCCUUUGGUAAUUCUGUGCAGAUUGUUUCCAAUCAUUUAUUACCCUUCAUGCACCAGGGAAAGGCUUCUACAAGCUGUUACUUAUCAUACAUCCACCUUCUGCAAAAAAAACCCAAACAAACUUCCUUGGAAACAACAGCAACUUGUUUCCAGCAUCAGAGGCGGUGAUUUUAUUGCGUUAAAAGUUUAAUGUAAUUAAAUUUCCACAUGUGCAAUGAGGAGAAUAACAAUAGUGGGUAUUUAUUUUCAGUCUUGAUGGUUGUGUGUAAUGUACAGUAUUAAAAGGGUUAACAAGCAGGCUUUGUGCUGUUUCUCAUUAGGGCGAAUUCAGCAUCCAGCUUUCAGGCUUAAAGGCUAUCUCAUAUCAUAUGUAUACUGCCACAUAUGUAAUUUGUUGGGUAGGACUGGUUGCAUUGUGGAGAUGGCAUAAAAAUUCCUAACAAUCUUUCCUGCCCAUAAUAGCUUUCCAGAAGACAGAACAUAAUGCUGCCCAUGCAUGUUAAAUCUUUGGAUGAGCUAAUAUGAAAUACUUCUGCUGUACUAAUUUCCUCUUGUGUGUAUUUUUUCCUGGCUCAGACUCAGUGACCUAAUUCUUUUCUUCAUUCUGUUCAAGGUUUUUGAUUUUUUCCAAGCUACUCACAUUGGACUCUUCUCCACUGUGGAAACUGUAUCUUUAUUUCUGUUUUGUAUUAGCAUAUUAAUUCUAUUUUGCAUUGUGUAGUUGCACUGACUGCCCCAUUGCUCCU